AAACUUACCAGGUCAAGACAUGGGCGUGAUUGACAGGCUAAUGACUUUUCUCGAUUCCAUGGAUGGUGGUGCAUGGUCGCACUUAGUUGGUGCAGUGAUUUGUCAGGUUUAUUCCGGUAACGAACGAGACCUCGGCCUUGUAAAUAGCUAUGCUGCUUACAGGGACAUUGGCGGCUACGCCAAGGAAGCUCGAGGCAAUUGCAGAUCUGGAAUGCCCUUAGAUGUCCUGGGUCGCACGCGUGCUACAAUGACGCCACGAACGAGCUUGCGUGAUGAAAGUUACGCAUAAUCAGCAGUCGGCGUCUUAAGGGAUAGUCUCUUGUAACUGUGGGGCUCCAACUAGGAAUGUCUCGUAAGCACAAGUCAACAUCUUGUGUUGAUUACGUCCCUGCUCUUUGUACACACCGCCCGUCGCUCCUACCGAUCGAGUGUUUAGGUGAAUUUGAUGGACGUAAGGAAGUCAAAUAAACCUGAGCACUAGAGAAGAGAAGUCGAUCAUC
rnacentral:rRNA from 1 species